GGAAGGAUCAUUUCCGAAUAAAAAAAAAACUUUUAUUACCAACCCACCUUUAUGGUGUGCAACGUUUUGGGUUUUUACAUUACUCUUGAAUGGGUGGAUUUGGACUUGGCGCGCUGGUUUUCUUAUCGAUUUCCCUUCUCCGGAAGGCUAUGUCUUUAAAAACACCGACAAGCCGAGACCAAUAAAACAAUCCCCUAUACAAGAGGCCUUGAUGAACCACAUUUUCAAUAGUACUUUGGUACUGUCGAGAUGCGUAAAACUUAAUGUCUUAUACUUCAACUAUAAAAAAACUGAAUAUAUCGACAACUUUUAACGGUGGAUCUCUUGGCUCGUGCAUCGAUGAAGAACGCAGCGAACUGCGAUACGUAGUGUGAAUUGCAGAAUUCAGUGAAUCAUCGAAUCUUUGAACGCAUAUUGCGCUGUAGGGUCCUCUCUGCAGCAUGUCUGUUUGAGUGUCAGGUCUUUUCCUCUCGAAAGUUUACAAUGCAAGUUGUAUAUCUUUUGGGGUUUGAUGUGAGGUGUUAUGGAGAGUGAGCAAUCACAAACUAUAUCCCUUUAAAUCCAAAGUGUGUAGGGGGUGGAUUGAGUGGGAGAUGGUUUACUCUAUCUUCUAUUCAGAACAACUCUAUAUGCUGUCCAACCAUAAAGAUUUUCUUUCUCCGAGUAUUUAUUUACAAAGGGGACUGAAAGCUUUGGUGUGGUAGUUAAUACUUACGUCAAAGUCCAACCUCUUUACUGGAAUCUAUAUUGGACAAAAACAAACUUUUUUCUCAUGACCUCAAAUCAGGCAAGACUACCCGCUGAACUUAAGCAUAUUAAUAAGCGGAGGAAAAGAAACUAACAAGGAUUCCCUUAGUAACGGCGAGUGAAGCGGGAAUAGCUCAAAUUUGAAAUCUCCAGGGGCAACUCUGGCGAAUUGUAGUUUAGAGAAGCGCUUUUUGGGGGCGGACGCUGUCCAAGUUCUUUGGAACGAGACAUCAGAGAGGGUGAGAAUCCCGUAUCUGGCAGCGCGUUUCCGGUCCCCUCUACAGGGCGUUUUCGAAGAGUCGGGUUGUUUGGGAAUGCAGCCCAAAAUGGGUGGUAAAUUUCAUCUAAAGCUAAAUACAGGCACGAGACCGAUAGCGAACAAGUACCGUGAGGGAAAGAUGAAAAGCACUUUGAAAAGAGAGUUAAAUAGCACGUGAAGCCGUUAAAAUGGAAACGAUUAAAGUCAGCAGUGCUUGCUUAGCAAUCAAUCCAAGCAGGCUGUGCCGAGGGUGGCUGUUGGAGGUGUCAAAGCCCCACAGUUGCCUUAUGCAAGCGGGUCUGCGUGGGUGUACUUGUUGAGUUGAGCGGGUCAGCAUCGGUUUGGCGAGAGCGGGGCAAGGUGUGCGGGAAGGUAGCCAAGUAUGCAAGUACUUGGUGUUACAGCCUGCAUGCUGAGACGCCGGCUAGACCGAGGAAUGCUACAGUGCAUGCCCUUUUGGGCUAGGGGGCGUUCGAUUUGGUGUUUCCUACUUUUGCUGGAUUACAGCGUCAAAAACUGUGGUCUGGUGUAGCGAGGUGCUAGCUUCGGGCGUCAAUCUUACAGUGCACUAUAGAUGCUGACGAAAUGGCUUUAACCGACCCGUCUUGAAACACGGACCAAGGAGUCUAACAUAUGCGCGAGUCUUAGGGUGGCAAACCCGAAAGGCGGAAUGAAAGUAAAGGCAGUCAUUGGGAUUGCUGAGGUGAGAGCCUGUUUUGGUAACAGAACAGGCGCAUCAUCGACCGAUCUGGAUUUUCUUUGAAAGAUUUGAGUAAGAGCGUAUCUGUUGGGACCCGAAAGAUGGUGAACUAUGCCUGAAUAGGGUGAAGCCAGAGGAAACUCUGGUGGAGGCUCGUAGCGGUUCUGACGUGCAAAUCGAUCGUCAAAUUUGGGUAUAGGGGCGAAAGACUAAUCGAACCAUCUAGUAGCUGGUUCCCAC
rnacentral:misc_RNA from 1 species